rnacentral:tRNA from 1 species
AAAGAUUUAGUUAAUAUAUAACAUUAGAAUGUCAAUCUAAAAUAAUUUAAAUAUAAUCUUUU